GAUGAACGCUGGCGGCGUGCCUAAUACAUGCAAGUAGAACGCUGAAGCUUGGUGCUUGCACCGAGCGGAUGAGUUGCGAACGGGUGAGUAACGCGUAGGUAACCUGCCUCUUAGCGGGGGAUAACUAUUGGAAACGAUAGCUAAUACCGCAUAAAAGUCGAUAUCGCAUGAUAUUGAUUUGAAAGGUGCAAUUGCAUCACUAAGAGAUGGACCUGCGUUGUAUUAGCUAGUUGGUGAGGUAACGGCUCACCAAGGCGACGAUACAUAGCCGACCUGAGAGGGUGAUCGGCCACACUGGGACUGAGACACGGCCCAGACUCCUACGGGAGGCAGCAGUAGGGAAUCUUCGGCAAUGGGGGCAACCCUGACCGAGCAACGCCGCGUGAGUGAAGAAGGUUUUCGGAUCGUAAAGCUCUGUUGUAAGAGAAGAACGAGUGUGAGAGUGGAAAGUUCAC
rnacentral:rRNA from 1 species